UACGAAGGGGGCUAGCGUUGUUCGGAAUUACUGGGCGUAAAGCGCACGUAGGCGGAUACUUAAGUCAGGGGUGAAAUCCCGGGGCUCAACCCCGGAACUGCCUUUGAUACUGGGUAUCUCGAGUCCGGAAGGGGUGAGUGGAAUUCCGAGUGUAGAGGUGAAAUUCGUAGAUAUUCGGAGGAACACCAGUGGCGAAGGCGGCUCACUGGUCCGGUACUGACGCUGAGGUGCGAAAGCGUGGGGAGCAAACAGG
rnacentral:rRNA from 1 species